GUACCAACGAUGCAUAUGCCACCAUCUACCAAGAUGACACUAUCAUCAAUAGCGACAAGUGGGCAGAGUCAUCACAUCCUGCUUGUGUCCCAAGAUUUAAAAAAGAGGCUGACAUUCUUAGUGCCACUCUUGCUUCACAACACAGCACCAGCUCAGAUCUCGUCACUCUUACCACCCCCAGGUCCCAGUGCUGAACUGGGAGGCAUGAAUACACUGCACCACAAUUCUCCUGCAGCUGACCCACAGAACAUACCCCACCACGUGGUAAACCGGUGUUCUGGGAAUUUCUCCUACCCCGUAAACCGUCCUACCCGUUGUUCCUGAGCAUGUGCGCGCAUGCGCACAAUACAAAAAGGGAAGCAAAGCGCAUCCGGCUGUGAUUUAAUGCUACUCCGUUGUCAUAUUUGCAGGAAAAUAGCUUCGGUGAAGUCUGCUGUCAAGUUACUGGACACGUGGUAUUUGCACAACACUUCUGAAUCCGCAGCUUCGGUGUUUUAAGGCUGUUUCGAUAUGGAGAAGAAGUGGGAAGAGAUUUACGCGUUUAUUUCUGCUGGCUCCUACCCUUCAGGAUAUGACAAGGCUCAAAGGCAAAACCUCAGAAGAUAUGCCUCAAAAUUCAAACAAAAGGAUGGAGAACUCUUUGUUGGAACCAGAAGAGUAGUAAAAACCAUGGAUGAUGCCAGGAAGAUAUUUCAUGAGUUUCAUUCAUCUCCAAUUGGAGGACACACUGGCAUACACAAAACGCUCAGUGCAGUGUGUUCCAGAUUUUACUGGUUUGGUAUGACAGUUGACAUUAAAACAUGGAUUCUGGAAUGUGAUCAGUGUCAAAAAGUUGGGAAACCACUGACUGCUGUGCAACCGUUGCAGUGUAUUCAGGUGUCUGAAGUGUGGGAACUUAUUGGUAUAGAUCUUACUGGACCUCUUCCUAAAACGUCAAGCGGCUUCCAGUAUAUACUUACUGCAACUGACUACUUUUCAAAAUGGGUUGAAGCUUUCCCAUUAAAAACGAAAUCUGCAUCUGAGGUAGCCCAGCACUUGUGCUCCAUUAUAUAUAGACAUGGCUGCCCCAAAAGGAUUUUGUCAGACCAAGGCAGAGAGUUUGUGAAUGAACUCAACUCUAAUCUUUGCAAGUUAUUGCAAACUGAAAGAAGUGUCACAGCAGCAUACCAUCCACAGACCAAUGGUCUAGAUGAAAAGACCAAUGACAACAUAAAAAGAGCCCUCCGAAAACUGGUGAAUGACCAGCAGAAUAACUGGGAUCUGUAUCUAGAUCCCACCCUGUUUUCACUGCGGUCAAAAGUACAUACCACAACAUUUUACUCACCUUUUUUUCUGAUGUAUGGAAGAGAGGCAGUAUUUCCAUCAGAAGUGCCUGCUCAAGUGCCGUGAAGUGGCUUUGGGCUGCAAAAGACAACGGGCGUGUGGAGGCAGUCGUUGGGCCAUACAAAUUGUAUGACUCUUCUUUUCGCACACUGGAGGACAGUGGGUGGCUUUCUGAUGAGGUAAGUGAAGUAAUCAUUUUUGGUCCUAGUGGUGGUCUGUAAAAAUA